rnacentral:tRNA from 1 species
GCCCUCAUAGUUCAGUGGUUAGAGCAUAAGCCUAGACAGUGAAAGGCCCCCAGUUCAAGCCUGGGUGGAGGCA